UUGAACGCUGGCGGCAGGCCUAACACAUGCAAGUCGAACGGUAACAGGAAGCAGCUUGCUGCUUCGCUGACGAGUGGCGGACGGGUGAGUAAUGUCUGGGAAACUGCCUGAUGGAGGGGGAUAACUACUGGAAACGGUAGCUAAUACCGCAUAACGUCGCAAGACCAAAGAGGGGGACCUUAGGGCCUCUUGCCAUCGGAUGUGCCCAGAUGGGAUUAGCUAGUAGGUGGGGUAACGGCUCACCUAGGCGACGAUCCCUAGCUGGUCUGAGAGGAUGACCAGCCACACUGGAACUGAGACACGGUCCAGACUCCUACGGGAGGCAGCAGUGGGGAAUAUUGCACAAUGGGCGCAAGCCUGAUGCAGCCAUGCCGCGUGUAUGAAGAAGGCCUUCGGGUUGUAAAGUACUUUCAGCGGGGAGGAAGGUAGUAAAGUUAAUACCUUUGCUCAUUGACGUUACCCGCAGAAGAAGCACCGGCUAACUCCGUG
rnacentral:rRNA from 1 species